UAUAUUAUAUAUUAUAUAUAAGAGUAAAAGAAGUUCUUGAAAAUCCGUCAACCAUCAUCACACAAAGAGCUUUAAACACUAAAGCGAACAAUACUUGUUGACCUGCACCAUCAUAUGUUGCAUAUAAAACUCCAGAUACCCAUCAGUUAGUACACUCAAGGCCCUGAUAAAGUUUAAACAGUUUAAACAUGUUUAUAUUGAAAAGCAUUGGAACCAUGAACAUAGUGUUCACCCAAUCAAAGCGACAGUGAGGGGAAUGAAGAAGUAUACAAAGCGCUUUAGAAUUAGUUCAUUAAUGUACAUUUCAGUUAAUGUUUUGAGUUUGUCAUAUUUCAAAAUCACUAUUUUGCUGCCUCCUAAACGACUUGCUUAAAAGAGGCUCAGCUACUGGACUUCACUAUGCAUCACAGGAAUUACCACUGGAGUAGUGUUGUGAUCGGUUGAGACUGAAACUAAAAUUAUUUGCCCUGCACACACCAGCAGGCGCUUUUUUUUUUUUUUAAAUGGGGCACACAAGGAUAAUAAUACUGAUACCGGAUAUUAUGUAUGCUGGGGGAUCACUGAUGCUUUAAAAUCGUAUUAAUCACAAUCUGGUUGCCUUUGCUAGAGGUUAAAAACUUGGCCAUAGAUGAAUCUUCAAUACACUGUCCCCAUACAUCCCUACAGGGGUGGAAUUAGCACUAGGCAAAAGCAGACAACUGCCUUGGGAUCCCAGAAGCCAAGGGACCCCUAAAAAUGCAAACUAUAUAUAUAUAUUUUUUUUUAAUUAUUAAUGCUAAAUAAUGCAUGCUGAAAAUUGAAGUAUUGAUGUUAAAACACUGGAAUGAUUUAUAUUGCUGUUAAUUCAGCAGCGACCAGGGGACACUGCUGUGUAGCAGCAAGCAUCACAACAGAGAAAGGAAGCUCAAGAAUAAUCGAGGUAAAUGUUUGUAAUUUAAUAGGGCCCCUAAAUAAAUAAAUAAAUCCACCCCCGCAUCCAGAUCAACAUAAGUGUAUGCAGAUCUCAAAAUGUGCUUUGCUAUAGAGGAUCUGAAUCUGAAACCUGUUAGUUUGAGGCUUGGCCAAACUAACCUUAAAGCACCUUAGAGCACAGUCCACAAGCGCAAACCUCAGAAUAUAAAGGAGUCGGAAAUGUUCUGCUCACCUGAGUGGUCCAAGAUCCUCUACCAGUGUCUCCAAUCUCGUCUUCAUUACGGAGAGAAUCAGUGCUGUUUAUUCAUUUAUUAUUAACAAAAUAUCAAUAGUAUGGGUCCUGAUAAAUUUGAAACCAGUUUGUAGUUGUAUUUUAUUUUUUAAAAAUAAAAACUACAUUAAAUUAAAGCUAAACAGAAUCGCCACAUGUAUCAGUUCAAGAUAUGAAAAUUUCCAUGCAUUAUUCAUGCUUGCUGAUUUGCAUGAAGGGUACAAAUAAUUCUAGAGUUAUAAAACAAUGAUGAAACAAUACACACACAGCCUUUUUCUGCUGUCUAAUGCAGUGUGCCAUCAAAUAUUUAGUUUAAAAAAAAAAAAAAAAAGAUUUUCAAAAAUAUUUGACAAUCUGUGAAAUGUUGAAGCCAGGAUUAGAGCGUUUUGCCUGAAUCGUGAACCACUGCAGUCCUGACGAUGUGACGUGUGAUAAAUCCACUUAGCACACUACAUGAACACCACCUCAUCUCCUUGAUCCCUCUCUGUUUGAUUCCUGCUCCCUGACACACACACACACACACACACACACACACACACACACACACACACACACACACACGAGAGUUGGGGCUAGGCAGGUGAUAAUCUGAUCAGUUAGUCAUUAAACCGAGUCCCAUGGGGUCAGUUCAACUUCAGAGAGGGGACGUGUGGCACCAUGAACUACACGAACAUCCUGAAAUAGAAUGUAGUGACUGGAGGAGAGAAUAUGGAGAGAAGUGGAGAGCAAAAAUAUCAUGGUUUUACAACAAAGGGUAUGGAGAGUGUGAAAAGGUUAAAAGGUUAACCAUUUGAGAAAGAAAGAAAUAAAGAAAGAAUAGGUUAGGAGAGCAGGUGAGGAGAGGAGAGGGCAGGUGAGGUGAGUAGAGGGGAGGGCAGGUGAGGAGAGGUGAGGGCAGAUGAGGUGAGGUAAGGGCAAGUGAGGUGAGAGCAGGUGAGGAGAGGGAGGGCAGGUGAGGAGAGGAGAGGGCAGGGCAGGUGAGGAGAGGGCAGGGCAGGUGAGGAGAGGGCAGGGCAGGUGAGGAGAGGGCAGGGCAGGAGAGGUGAGGGCACGUAAGGAGAGGUGAGGGCAGGUGAGGGCACGUAAGGAGAGGUGAGGGCACGUGAGGAGAGGGCAGGUGAGGGCACGUGAGGAGAGGAGAGGGCAGGUGAGGAGUUUUUAGACUCCAGUGUGAAGGGGUGUAAAGUGUGAGGUGUUUGGAGGGAAAUGCACUGAGGGUGGAACUGGGCAUCUCAGACAGCUAACAGCACAAACAAGAAACUACACUGUUCACUCCUUGCUCUUACCUGUACAACGGCGACGGAGUGAGAACACACAACACGGCACAUUUAACACACGAGAGAGCGUUUUAAGAAAAAAAAAAAAGCCUUUAUUUUACAAUUUUAAAAAGCAAUAUUAAGCACAAAGAGUGAACUUUGAUAUAAACUUUUUUUUUCCUGCAUAAAAAUGGUGGCGUGUGCACGUUGUGCUUGCAUUGCAAACUGUGUCCAGCCUCUUGGGGCUCUCGCCGUCUCGCCUUUUUAUUGCAUAUGUCACACGUGACAGACUCCUCGUGGGUCUGCUUCCAGUUCAGGACUGUGCAGAAGACAAGGAAGAGGAGGAGAUGAAGAAACAAGAAAAAAAACAAAAACAAAACCCAAACAGACAGAAAAGAAAUGCACACAGUAGCAGCUCUCUGAAGAAGGUCUUGCACAUUGUCCAGAGGGGGGAAAUAAAACAAUAAUUAUAAACCAACGAAUGAUUAGAAUAAAUUAACAGAGUGACACUCACCGCAGUUGUGCUUUAACGCUGUUUACACAAACAGCUAACCCUAAUUAAAAACACAAAGCAACUCAGAUAUGAAUCAGAGAUUCCUGUGACAGAUAUGCUGCCCCAAGUUUCUAAUUAUUUAGCGCAUAAUGCUAGCUGAACAGUUGCACACAUCCCCAUAGACAGCUGUGAUUAUUAUAUUCUCUCCUCUGUAUCUCUCUCUACUCUAUAGAAAUCUACUCUUACAAAACUAAACCAUAUUACAAGGCAUUUCCCCUUAUAAAGGAAGGCAGAUUCACGCUCCUAUUUAUAUCACCACCAUUCAUCACACAGCAAGUUACUUAAAAAAAAAAUAAAAUAAAAACAAAACACUCAACCUUUAAAGACUUUGGUAUGAACAAAAGAUUUUCAGAUCCUCCUAGUAACGGAAUAAGAUUGUUUCCCUUUGAAGAACCAAGUCCUGUUAUAAUGCUAAGUAUGAAAUGUGCAUAGAAAUAUUCAUGAGAUGAACGUUCACGCCAGUGAAACACCACUGAUAGAAAAUUGAUGUUUGAGGAGAAGACACUCAAAAAAAAAAAAAAAAAAAAAAAAGAAAAAGAAAAAAAAAAAAGUUGUCUCUUAAGAUAAAUCAGUCAUGAGGCGUGAAGUCUCUUACAGAAAACUCCGCCUAAGAAGCAGCGACAAGGUCCCGAGUAAAACUUCCUCACGUCUCCUACAAUCUAUUCUGAGCUUUUACUCUUUAAGUGAACAAUUCUACUGUUGGUAUGUGCGGAGUAAAACGGCCAACGGGCAGCGGGUCAGGCUGGGCAGAACACUGUACUUCUGUGUGUCUUGGCUGAGACUGGGAAAAGAGACUGAGCUCACCAGGGUAAAGGUUCUGCUACUAAGCUUCAGAUAUCCGUGCUUCUGAGGACCACAAGGUGAUCAAGUCAAACACUUACACACCCUCACGCACACACACCUUGGAAAACAUCUCAAUUUAUGAAAGAGCUAUGCUGCACUGGGGAAGGCUUUGCACACUUUACAUUUCUUCCACUAGCUUGCAUUUUGAGCUGAUUAUUUAUCUAUAGAAGAGAAAGACAAAUCUUUCUCAUACCAAGACUUGAAUUACAUUCUCUGGCUUUUUUUUUUUUUUAAUAUAAUAAUUUUGUACUCUUUAUAAAAAACAAAAAAACAAACAAACAAAAAAAAAACAAACAAACAAAAACAAAAAACAAAAACUGCCCUCAUGAGUUACUGAUAAUAUUACACUUUCUCUUAAACAAGAGGGAAAAAAAACCUUUGGUAACACCAACAUUUUACCAGUAACUAGAGCUUGACCAUAAAGGCUUUUUCCAACAGGAGCCAACUGUCAAAGGUCUGCUUUUGUUCAUCCUGAUAUCAAGUUGACGACAUACCUCAUUCAAUUUUUACUGACGUUAGCUUGUUCUGAUGAUGACUUGCAUUCAUCAUUCAUGCAUACUUUGCAGCUCAGAGUACUUCUGGUAUGUGAGAGUUAUAUAACGUUGAUGUGAAGUCAGGGUAAUUACAUAUAACUGUCAAUUAGGGUGCUGAGACUGUUACAAGAUUUAGAACAAGCUCAAAUAUUCAACGACUAAAGAACUUACCAAAGAUGAAAAUAUGAUCAGUCAUGACAGUGUCAUGGCAUUCCCGGAAAUAUUAAUAGAAAUAUACUAUAGGUACACUGAACUGCAAAGUCAAAGUCAGUUGUCAUGACGAUCUAACGCAGCACAGAUUUAUGUCAACAAAUAUCUCUCACUUGACACUAUGGGGUUAUGAAAGCAAUCAUUACACCCGUUUGUUAGACGCCUUAAUACAUGCUUAUGUGGGUUUUAUGUAGGAGUCAAAUAACUAUUAAUCACUGCCUUUAAGUAAAAGUUACCAAAACUUGUAUAGCUUAUGAGAAUCAGUCAUUAUCUUCUGCUCCACUGAACAGAUUCAGUGUAGUCUGUAGUUUGAUGUACGAACAGCAUACUUCACUUAUAUGAAGUCAAGCCAGAUGUUCUGUCUAUCUGCAUUCCCGAGGGCAUUCGCUCAGCUCGUGAUUUAGAGACAAACGCCAACACAAGGUAACGGUUUAGGGUUUAGGGAAAGGGGGGAAAACAAAAAUAAAAAGGGAAAUGGGUCAUGCUACAACGCUGCAAUCAACAAUCCAUAAACUUUCAUUGUGUGUCCAAUUCAAACCUACUGUGACAAGGACUGAGUAGAAACUAAAUAAUUAAUGUAAACCCUUUAAAGAUCAUACACAUAUGUGAAGUGUCCAUUUUACAUAAAGGAACCAAAUGAUGCGGUCACUGAUAUGAUGCGAGUGAACAGAAAGUGACCAACACCUAGCGCGGUUCAGAAUGUUGGGUUUGUUUUAUGAAGACAUUUAGUUUCCUACAGCUUUUAGCAUUUGGUUAAGAUGACAGCGAAUGGUCGGUCAUGCUACUGAAAUGUUUCGGUAGAACUGGAGAGUCUGCAGUAAACGGUUCUCAGUCACCCUGCCCCAGAGGAGCACUGGGGAAAUUCAUUGGCUCACAUUGCUGCUACAUGCGGUUCACGAUCAACCAAAACUAUUAUGGAUUUAAGACUCAAUCAAAGACAAUGUCCGAAGAUUACGCCUUGCUAGCCCCCAAGAAACAACAUUUAUGGAUUACUUACUCAAACUUUUUCGAAAAUAAUUUUAUAUUGUUUUUGUUAGAAGACCAGUGAACUAGCAUUAACUACUUCUGUGGCCUAAUAUACUUUCUCCAUUUAUGUUUCAUAUUGGUUCCGGUGUGCCUUAUGGUGAGCAUGUAAAAAAAAAAAAAUAAAUGCAUGUUUGAUUGUUGUGUACUACAUAAUUCACCCUAAAGUCUUGCCCGUAACAUAUCCAUACCACUACAGCAGGAGCAGAUUUACAUUAAGAU
ensembl:lncRNA